rnacentral:lncRNA from 1 species
GCUCGAGCCAAGCACCCCGCGUCGUUUCGCCGCUGGUGACGCCGUUGACGAACAAAUGCUGGCGCAAAUAAGGUGACAUACGGCCUGCGUGAAAUUCCAGAGACGCCAACUUCCGACAUUUACAAAAUGCACAAUGGUCCAUUAUGCUGGUCAUGCAGAGACUUGGCGACGAGGAGUGCUGGGCGUUGCUUCAGCGCGGAGCUGAAGCUGUCUGCCAGUGGGUCACAGUCGAUACUGUAGGAGAGUCUAAUGGUACUUUAAAGGGGACGCACAUUGUCCGUGGUUAAUCCUAUCCUACCUGUCUCUCAAUGCUUUUGAGCAACAUAAGAGUGAGUCAAGCAACGGAUUGAUAGUAGUCUGUCUGAAGCGGGAGGCGUCUUCAAGUAACCGCAUCAUAUUGGGAAGGUGACGAAACGACCGGCGCUUUUUCCUAGCGGAUGUGGCGAAACUCAGCUGCUUCCGCCUUGUCCCGCUUCAACAAACCUAUAAAUGGGACAAAUGCUUCACGGGAUUGCAUUCCAUGAGGGGAUACCUCAACAUCAGCAGCUGCAUACUCCUAGGGUGUAGGUUGCAGUAUCUAAGCGGACACUGUGGUGGCGUACUCCAAUUCUCGUAUGAUGUGAAUAUCCUCCGGCGAGCUUGCGAGGUAUUUUGGUGAAUCCGGAAACACGGAGCGAAGGCAUAACUUACUGCUACAGGUGCAAGUGGCACAUGUAGGCUACCGAGCGCCAAUUUCACUAUCAUAUUUCCUGGUUACUACAGAAGUCCCUUUUUCAUUGUUCCCAUCCACGCCUUGGGUGCCUGCUGCAGCCGUCAUUUAGUUUUGUGCGGCAGUGAGUUAGGG